CACAAUGUAGUCCUUUAAAUUUAAAAUUAAGAGUCUUGUUUAGGGAGAUUUUCUCCCUUAGUUUUUAUAUGUAGGUCAAUUAGCCAAAUCAUAUAAUAAAAUUAUGUUCUUAGUAUUGUUUUUCGUUGUCAUCUUGUUUAUCGUCUCAUAGUUUGCAACUAAUAGCUUCCGCAUGACGCCCUCUCAAUUUCGAACCCAACAAGUGGAAUCAGAGCUUAUGGUUCAAUGGUCCAAUGGUGUGUUGAGACGAGAUUAAAUAGGUUCAAAGCAGUUUCAAAACAAGCUGCAACCAAUUUGAUGAUAAUGAAGAUAUAUGUCCAAAAGUUACAUGUGGAGAUAAUUGUCAAUCAUAUUUUCAACAAUCUUGCUGUCACAUAUUUGAAAAUAAAGCUUACUUUUAACCCUGCAAAAGGGCUCUAAUAUUUUUAACCCGAAAAGGGCUAAUAUAUUUUUUGACCCCAAAAACUCCAUUUUUAAACAUGUCAAACAACAGUGAUAUAUGAAGAAUAUAUAUGAAGAACGAAGAUCAUGCACAAGAAGAAGGAGGAUCAAGAAUAUUUUGAAGAAAAUUAAGCCAAAAAGGGGAGAUUUGUUAGGGUUUUUGUCCUGAUUUUCUUACUAUAUUUAAGUUUUACUUUUUCUUAGAAGGAAAAUAAAAGUUAUAAUAAUUACUUUUACUUUUUCUGAAAGAAAAAAUAUAAUUCUUUUCCAUAUUUGGCUAAUCUCUUCUUUGGAGGAAAGGUUUUGGACAUCUAUAACCAGAAGAUCCUUUCUCAUACCAUAACAUAAUAGCAUCCCCAAUGUAGUCCUUUAAAUUUAAAUUUAAGAGACUCCCAAAUAGUUUUUAUAUUUUCUUUAAUAUUAGUUUUUAUAUGUAGGCCAAUUGGCCAAAUCAUAUAAUAAAAUUAUAUUUUUAGUAUUAUUUUUCGUUGUCAUCUUAUUUAUCGUCUCAUAAUUUGCAACUAAUUGCUUCCGCAUGACUCCUCUCUCGAUUUCCAACCCAACAUUUACUAUGCAUCCCUUCCAUCUGCAUACUGGAACAACUACGUACCGUAUUGCUUUACAGGUCAUUACAUAGCCUUCUACCUUUUCCUUUGCAUUCCUUUUCCAAAAUCUUUCAUUUCAUCCUUUGUAAAUGUUCUUAGAGCUACAAUUUCUCCUGCAUUUUCGUUGGACAUAUUUUGUCAAAACAAAAAAAGGGCAAUCAAUCAGAAAAAAGAAAAAAAAUAUGAAAAUAGUGAAUCAAGAUCUAGAUGGAUUCCUAUAUUUAUCUCUAUCCAUGAAGAUACAUAUACAUAUGGAGAGAGAUCUACAUAUGAAUCGGCCUAGACUAUCCUCUAUCUGGAUAGAUAUGUCCGUAUGAGGGACUACACCAAUAUUUAUAUGUUUUGGCCACGUCCCUUUCCGCUCCGAAGAAGAAGGUUUGGAUCUUUCAAUCUUUUGUCGUGAGGUAUAUGACCCUUCUUCUGAGUCUAUGCACUUCUGCUUAGUAUGUCGUUUAUAUGCUUCAAAAUAAGCCAAAGACCCCUUUUUUUGUUCUUCUUUUGCCUGCGCACCAAUCCAGGGGCUAAGGGACCCAAUUCUUAAGACUCAAUAUGCGAAAAAAUCAUAGUUAAAUAAGUGAGAGCUGUAAGGUCCAAAUGAAGCUAUAAUCCACAGGACUGGCCGGGGCAUUUCUGAUUUUUACUUGGGAUUCUAUGUUGGAGAUUUUAUGAUGGUUUAAAAUUUGAUGCUAGCUUUUUAUGGGGUUUCCCCAAGCGAAAUGAAAGUGGUGCAACACUAUUCGAUAUGUCUACAUUUUCUGAAUGCUAUUGAAUUUCCACGUUGAGAUGUCAAUUGUUGUUAUAAGGAUUUGAUGUUGUCUUGGCUCCUGAAAAGAUAUGAUGUCUUAACUGGUUUAUAUGUUCCAAGAUGAAGAACUAGAUUAAAGUUUGGGAACUUGUUGGCUGUGAGCCUUAUUAUUGAGUACGUUUAUCCAUACAACAACAACAUACCCAAUGUAUUGCCACAAAGUACGUUUAUCCAUAUAUAUAUUUAAUUUUUUUUUCUAUCCUACUAAUUAAAAGUUGUUUUGUUUACGUUGAUAUGCAACAUGGUUCAUUUCUGUAUGAGAGCAUGUUAAUUCCAAAUAUGGAUGUGCAAAUACUGGUUAAUAAUUUGAUCUAGAGUUUGGUUCCUACUGUUGUAUAUUCCCUCUAAAAAUUUGUUUAUUUUGUGCUAAUAAUGUAUGCAUACUUGCCUUUUGUUGUGUUGCC
rnacentral:lncRNA from 1 species